AAUGACAUUGUUAAAAUGCCCCCAUUUUUCAGGAAAAAUGAAGAACAGUGACUUACUUCUUUUUGUUUUGUUUUUAACUUAGAAAUGUCAUUAAUUCUGCUUGGGAGCAUCCUGAAGUUGGAAGUACAGUUGAAACUUUGGCCUGACAGAAUUUAUCUGUGAAUACCAAUUAAUACAUGAAAGCAAAUCAAAUUAAAGGCAGCCCCUGUUGUGGUUUAAGUAACAAGCUUUCCUCCAAAAGCUCAAAUGUUGGAACCAUGGACCUCAGAGUGUUGUGCCCAGGUUGCAAGACCCCCAAGCAAGACCACCACAUAGCCAUUGUCCGAUAAGAUUUAAUGUUGGCCUGUAUGACAGCAGAAGACUCACCAAGGAAGCCAUGAAGAUCACUGGAGCCUAGUGCAGCUGUCUAGCCAGUAGCAGUGAUGAAUGUAAUGAAAUAAAAAGAAUUAGAGCUCCUAAAUCCGAGCAUAAGAGCCCCACUAUAAGACCAGAAUGUCUCCAACUAAAAUGAAGGAAAUAGGGUUGUGUCAGAAGCCUGCAUUUCCGACCUGUGAUAUGACUGUGAGUCUGUUCACCAAGCGGUUUGCCUUUUCCUGAAUGUGGAUAAUGUCAGGCAUUUAGCAGCACAUCCAUGGAAUUCAUGCUGUGUAAACACUCUCAGAGCUGUGUCAGCCCUGACAUCAGUCAUUCUCAAUCAUAACUGAAGAACCAACGUGCCCCCAUUUCAAGCAAGCCCCUCACCCCAGCUUGAAAGAGGCCUGAGUUUCAAAAUUCUCAGAGCUGCUGACAUAGGUCCCAGGACAAAGUCAGGAUGUUUGAAGAGCCAACUGGGAGCAACUGAUUAACCAUAGAACACCCCAAUGCUGGAGAUGGUCAACAAAGUCAGGAUGUUUGAAGGACUAUCUGGUAACAAUUGAUUAACCACAGAAUGCCCCAGUGCCGGAGGUAAUUUAUAAAGUUUGACAAACAACCGGUUAAAACUACAAAGUAAGAUAACAUAGAAAUUCUGGAAUGCCCCUAAAACUUGAGCCAAUCAGAAUUGUACCCAUACUAGCGCCCCUAAAUGAUGUAAUCUUGUGGUUUUUGCCUUUAAAACCUGAGCUUGCAGAGGGGCGGGAACCUCCUCCAGCCUCUGCUGUGUUGGAUGACUUGACAAGGUCCCUGCCUUGUGGCUUGACCUGCUUCAAUAAACCUUGCUUUUGCGUU